rnacentral:rRNA from 1 species
AGUGAACGCUGGCGGUAGGCCUAACACAUGCAAGUCGAACGGCAGCACAGUAAGAUCUUGCUCUUACGGGUGGCGAGUGGCGGACGGGUUAGGAAUACAUCGGAAUCUACUUUUUCGUGGGGGAUAACGUAGGGAAACUUACGCUAAUACCGCAUACGACCUACGGGUGAAAGCAGGGGAUCUUCGGACCUUGCGCGAUUGAAUGAGCCGAUGUCGGAUUAGCUAGUUGGCGGGGUAAAGGCCCACCAAGGCGAUGAUCCGUAGCUGGUCUGAGAGGAUGAUCAGCCACACUGGAACUGAGACACGGUCCAGACUCCUACGGGAGGCAGCAGUGGGGAAUAUUGGACAAUGGGCGCAAGCCUGAUCCAGCCAUACCGCGUGGGUGAAGAAGGCCUUCGGGUUGUAAAGCACUUUUGUUGGGAAAGAAAAGCAGCAGGUUAAUACCCCGCUGUUCUGACGGUACCGAAAGAAUAAGCACCGGCUAACUUCGUG